rnacentral:lncRNA from 1 species
ACAUGGCUAUGAUUGGUUAUAUGAGUUUGUGAAAUUACAAACCUAAUUUCUGGGUGGUGUCAAAGAUGGGAUUACCUGAAACGGAUUCCCACGUUGCUUUGUGAUUUGGUGAUUAUGGUUCUUGACUUCUCUAAGAGAGGAAUAAAAGUGCCACACUCACUAAUGACCAAAUUGGUCAGUUCCACUCAUAUGCCCCCUAUAGCCUCUUUACCAUCUAGCCUUUCCAGAGUUAACCUAUUGUAAAAUUAGAUUGUAAAAAUGGACAGAGUGGCCACCACUCUGGGAUAAGGGUGAAGGACUCAUGGUGUCAUCCCCACUAAAUACUCCAGUGGAAAUUAUCACUUAAUUAUUUGUGAUAUCACCCAGCUCCCCAAAGAGCUGGCCUUCCUUUUCAGCCCCAGUUAUCUUUUGGAAGUGUAACUCUUUCAGUUUGAUUGUCCUGGGAACACAUGCAGUUUUCUCUUGAUGGGGAAACCCCUCUCUGAAGGUCUGCGUUUUAAGUGGCAGAGAUGCAAAAACAGCCUUCUAGACAGAGUUUCUAAUUGAAUUCUCCUCUAUACCGUUAUCCAUAAACUGAGUAAUGCAUCCAAGGAAGAAGAGAGGAUGAGAGAGGUCAGGAAGUUUAGAUUCCAGUAAAAUUUAAAUAGCCACUGAAUUUGCCAUAGCAAAACAUGAGCUAUGAUUCUGUUAGUACACAGGAAAAGUCAAUUAGGUGAACUGAUUUUUUAUGGUGUUGGGAAUAUUAUAAUUCAGGGAUUCUUAACCUAUAGCUUAACCUAUAGGCAAUUUAAGACUAGAUUUCAGGGGUAGGGCAGUGAAACUUCUAAAAUUGCUGUAACAUUUUUUAUUAAGUCAUAGGCAGUUUCCUAGGGAGAGGCUUUUAUCAAAUUCUCAGAAGGGUCCACUGCCAUAAAAGAUUAAGGAACCACUGCAUUCUAUCAUCAUAAUUUUUUGUCUUCUUUCAAAAGUUGAUAUUCUGGUUUUUUUUAUGCAGAAAAGACAAAAGCAUGUACAACUCUGAUAUUUCAUGAUCUUUAAUUUCUUCCCCCUCCUGGAUGUCCUAUAAUAAAUGUACAGGAAAGAAAUAUAAAACGCUAUCCAAACUCAGUUAAUAGCUCUGAGAAAUGCACACUCAGAGUGCUUUAAAAUCAGGUUACAAAUAUCAUUUUCAAUUUGCUGGGGAGAAAAUAGGAAGAGUCCCUUGGAAUACAGAAUAAAUUCAUUCUAUGUACAUUAUCAGUGUUGGUUCAUUAUAUUCUCAUUGGCCCACAACUCAACACAUCUUUAAGAAGCAAAAGUGCAUACACUCUCCCUUACUGACAAUAUUUAGGGGAAGACCACAUACUUUGUGAACUACUGUGAGUUGAGUUCUUGUAGUCAAAGCAGUAGUAGGUGGAGCUUCAUUCUCUGGUAUUAAAAUCCUAAAAGUGAGUAGUGUUAUUAAUUGGGGGCACUUUUGAGAUUUGAUUAAGAAAUUUACUGCUCUUGUGGGUUGUUUCCUCCCUUGUGGGAUGUUCUGGAUGAAUGUCAAGGUCUAGCCCCGGCAGAUUCCAGAAAGCUUGUCCAUCUAAAUUUGCUGUUAAGCCAUGGGAACUUUUCUAUUGCAGUCUUUGGGUCAUGGUAACGUGUAAAGCCUAGAGUUUGUUGAAGGGCACUUUUCUCUCUCUAAAAUUCUCCAUUCCUCACAACUGGUUUUUAUUAUUCCGUGACAUGCUGGGAGUGUUGCUAUGACUGUUUGAGAAGUAUGGGCAGAUAUAUUGCUGGCUGGCUUCUUACAGGAAGAGUUUCCCAUGAUGAACGGGAGCAGUGAUAGAUCACACCUACUAGAGCUGAAGUGUGGAUUGAGCCAGGACUUGAAGAGUAAAUGGAAAAUGAAAAAAAAAAAAAAAAGGCUUGGGGGAGGGUGGUUUCUUUUAUUUCUCACCUUAUUCUACUGGGCUGUUGUCUUUCCCUAAGAUCAUGGCAAAAAGUUUCAGAGAUUAUGUACAACAACUGUAUUGGAACCCUGCAACCAUUACAAAAUUGAAUUAGAAGUAAUUGGUUUUAUGCUACUCUGAGCACCCACCAUAGCUUAAACACAUACACACAUGCGUGCACGCAGGCACACACACACACAAACACACACACACGGGUGAUAAUGAAAAAUACUUUGGUGGCCUCAGGAAAUGAUAGAAUUUUCUCCCAUGUUUAGCUCCCACUCUCCUGAGGAACAGGUUGAUAGCUGUGACUAUUCUUCUUUGAUACCACACCAAAACUUAACAAGUUUCUCAAAAGUUAGUUGUGUGAUACCUGAAACAAUAUCAAUGAAUUUUUUAACUCCUUACAUUAAAAUACAUUGGUAUAUCUUUCACUAUGAAUAGGUCUUUUACCCAUCAUCAUUUUGUAACAUCACUCAUUGGUCAUUUGAAAAAUAUUGGUUCACUGAGUUAUGUUCAUUGAGUUAUGUGACAUACUUUGUUAGACAAUAUCAACGAUUUAUGUUCAUUAAUAUCACCAUUGAUCUCAUCAGAAAAGCACAAAUGUCAGUUCUUAUAAAAAAGUGAAAACAUAUUUAUGCAAUUCCCAUUAAGAGUUACUGUGGAUAGGAACAGACAAGGACAACAAGGCACAGGGAGACUAAGGGACUUGCUUGGUCACACAGCUGGUUUUUACUUGAAUUGGGGCUGGAAACAAGACUUUCUGACUUGGAGCCCAGUUCUGUAUGGAAUCACAUUAGUUUUCAAAGCCAAGCCUGGUGCUUAUUUUCUGGGAUUGUAUGACUGACAUCACAAUAAGAGCUUGUCUUUGUGUCAUUACUCUUUGGUAUCACAACCUUAGUUCAAGGCCUGUCUUAUUGCAGUUGCCUUCUAACUUGACUUUCUGCUUAAAAUAGUCUCCUCCUCUAAUCCAUUCCUCCACACUGCAGCUAGGGAGAUCUUUAAAGUGCCUCUUCUGUUAUGCCUUUCUCCAGUGAAGAAGCUUGAGCUGGCUUCACGGAGCCAGGAUUGCUGAAUGUUGCCCCAAGGCCUUCC